rnacentral:tRNA from 1 species
UUUAUAUAGUUUAAGACAAAACACUAGAUUGUGGUUCUAGUAAUAGAGAACCCUCUUGUAAACC